ACGUAGGGGGCAAGCGUUAUCCGGAAUUAUUGGGCGUAAAGAGUGCGUAGGUGGUUUUUUAAGCGUGAGGUGAAAGGCAAUAGCUUAACUAUUGUAAGCCUUGCGAACUGGAAGACUUGAGUGCAGGAGAGGAAAGUGGAAUUCCUAGUGGGCAGGUGUAUGGCCUGUAAAUUAGAGGGAGGAACGGAGGCGAAGGCAACAAACAGGACUGGAUCCGCGACUAAGCCGCGUGAGCGUGGCGAACACAAAG
rnacentral:rRNA from 1 species